UUACUGAGCGGGUGCGUGGAAUGUUGGAGGGCUAGUUAUGGCUCGCCGUUCUAACGUUCAUUAUUUCAACGAUUUUACUGGCGGGUUGAAUCUUGAUUCUCCCCGUCAGUCUUUGGCGUUGAAUGAAACGUUUGAUUGUUUGGAUGUGGAUUUUGACGCUAGGGGCGGGUUUACGCAGCGGCGUGGUGUGAAGGCUAUUUCGGGUUCUGAUUUGGAUAAGAUGAAUGGCGGCUAUUUGUUGGGCCAUUUGUCGUUUGGGACCGAUUUGGUGUUUGGUGUUUCUACGGAUAAACGUUUGUGGACUUGGGAUGGUGCUAGCACUAGCCAUGUUGCUACUGCUGUGACGGAUCAGACUGAUUUUGUGCAUUGGUCAACUUGGGGUAACAAGUUGUAUUUGGCUAACUGUUGGGCUACUAGUGCGCUUGUGAUGCGGUAUCGUACUGGUGCUGGUUUGGCUACUGUGACGACGUUGACUAAUACGUUCAACAAUAACUAUACUGCUCCUACUGGUGGCAAUAUGCCGUUGGCACGGCUUAUUGCUCAACAUCAGGGUUUCAUGUGGGUUGCGGACACGGUGGAAUCUAGUGUUCGGAAUCGUUCUCGGGUGCGUUGGUCGCAUCCGUUGCAGCCUGAGGAUUGGGCUUCUGCUGACUAUUUUGACAUUGAUCCUGAUGAUGAGUCGGAUCAGAUUACUGCGCUGGUCCCGUUUCGCGAUAUGUUGUUGGUGUUCAAGCGGCGGUCUGUGUGGGCUGUGUAUGGCUAUGAUUCGGAUUCGUUUGUUCCUGAGCGUUUGACUGUUGCUUCUGGCGUGUGGGCGCAGGAGGCGGUUACGGUGAAUGCUGGUAUCUGUUAUUGGUGGUCGCCUGAUGGGAAUGUGUAUGCGUUCAAUGGUAAGGGAGUUGUGCCUGUGGGUGGCCGCAUUUCUCGUGUAUUGGACGAUGAUGUGGUUUCUGGUGCGGAUCAUCGGUUGGCGUGGGCCGAAGAUCGGCUAUAUGUUUCUUUGGUAAACAACGAUAACACCCGUUUGUGUUUCGUUUACGAUCCUGGGGUGGGUCGUGCUGGGGCUUGGACGAAGUAUAGUUUGGAACCUACGUCGUUUGUUUGGUGGCGUGGCACAAAUGGGAAUAACUCAUUUUUUAUGACGUUGCGUGGCAAGAAUGGCAUUUUCAAUCAUGCUGUUUCUAAUCAAGUGCAGGACGAGUUUUCUACUGGGGUGUUGUCUACGAUUCCAGCGUAUUAUUCUACGUCAUGGUUUACUGGUGGCGAUACUGCGUUGAAGAAGCAGUUUCGUCGUGUGCAUCUUACGUCUGCGACGAAGGACCCGUGUACGUUCAAGGUGGAUGUGUAUUACGAUUUCAACGAUUCGGCUGUGCGCCGAACGUUGGUGUUGGAUGUUCUUGAUGGCGGCACGAGCCUAACGUGGGGUACAGGUUUGUGGGCUAAGAUGAGGGGUGAUAACGAGGAAGCUUGCUUCCGAAGUGAGUGAUACCCUGCUUCCAGGAAAAGCCACUAAGCUUCAGCUGCAUACGACCGUACCGCAAACCGACACUGGUGCGCGAGAUGAGUAUUCUAAGGCGCUUGAGAGAACUCUGGAGAAGGAACUCGGCAAAUUGACACCGUAACUUCGGAAGAAGGUGUGCCUUUAGUAGGUGAAGCCCCCGCGGGUGGAGCCCAAUGAGGUCGCAGAGAAUCGGUGGCUGCAACUGUUUAAUAAAAACACAGCACUCUGCAAAGACGAAAGUCGACGUAUAGGGUGUGACGCCUGCCCGGUGCUGGAAGAUUAAUUGAUGGGGUGCAAGCUCUUGAUCGAAGUCCCAGUAAACGGCGGCCGUAACUAUAACGGUCCUAAGGUAGCGAAAUUCCUUGUCGGGUAAGUUCCGACCUGCACGAAUGGCGUAAUGAUGGCCACACUGUCUCCUCCAGAGACUCAGCGAAGUUGAAAUGUUUGUGAUGAUGCAAUCUCCCCGCGGAAAGACGGAAAGACCCCAUGAACCUUUACUGUAGCUUUACAUUGGACUUUGAACAGAUCUGUGUAGGAUAGGUGGGAGGCUUUGAAGCCAGGACGCUAGUUCUGGUGGAGCCGACGUUGAAAUACCACCCUGGUGUGUUUGAGGUUCUAACCUAGGUCCAUUAUCUGGAUCGGGGACAGUGCAUGGUAGGCAGUUUGACUGGGGCGGUCUCCUCCCAAAGCGUAACGGAGGAGUUCGAAGGUACGCUAGUUACGGUCGGACAUCGUGAUAAUAGUGCAAUGGCAUAAGCGUGCUUAACUGCGAGACUGACAAGUCGAGCAGAUACGAAAGUAGGACAUAGUGAUCCGGUGGUUCUGUAUGGAAGGGCCAUCGCUCAACGGAUAAAAGGUACUCUGGGGAUAACAGGCUGAUACCGCCCAAGAGUUCAUAUCGACGGCGGUGUUUGGCACCUCGAUGUCGGCUCAUCUCAUCCUGGGGCUGUAGCCGGUCCCAAGGGUAUGGCUGUUCGCCAUUUAAAGAGGUACGUGAGCUGGGUUUAAAACGUCGUGAGACAGUUUGGUCCCUAUCUUCCGUGGGCGCUGCAGAUUUGAGGAAGCCUGCUCCUAGUACGAGAGGACCGGAGUGGACACACCUCUGGUGUAUCGGUUGUCACGCCAGUGGCAUUGCCGAGUAGCUAAGUGUGGAAGAGAUAACCGCUGAAAGCAUCUAAGCGGGAAACUCGUUUCAAGAUGAGAUCUGCCGGGGCCUCGAGCCCCCUAAAGAGUCGUUCAAGACCAGGACGUUGA
rnacentral:rRNA from 1 species